AUUGAACGCUGGCGGCAUGCCUUACACAUGCAAGUCGAACGGUAACGCGGGGCAACCUGGCGACGAGUGGCGAACGGGUGAGUAAUAUAUCGGAACGUGCCCAGUAGUGGGGGAUAGCCCGGUGAAAGCCGGAUUAAUACCGCAUACGACCUACGGGUGAAAGGGGGGGAUCGCAAGACCUCUCGCUAUUGGAGCGGCCGAUAUCAGAUUAGGUAGUUGGUGGGGUAAAAGCCCACCAAGCCAACGAUCUGUAGCUGGUCUGAGAGGACGACCAGCCACACUGGGACUGAGACACGGCCCAGACUCCUACGGGAGGCAGCAGUGGGGAAUUUUGGACAAUGGGCGAAAGCCUGAUCCAGCCAUGCCGCGUGCGCGAAGAAGGCCUUCGGGUUGUAAACCGCUUUUGUCAGGGAAGAAAUCCUUUGAGCUAAUACCUCGGGGGGAUGACGGUACCUGAAGAAUAAGCACCGGCUAACUACGUGCCAGCAGCCGCGGUAA
rnacentral:rRNA from 1 species